rnacentral:rRNA from 1 species
AUGAAUUGCCUAAGUUGGAACUGCCGGGGAGGGGGGAACUCCCCGACAGUUCGAGAAUUAGCGACGGUAUGUCAGUUGCGUUCCCCCAUGUUUGUGUUCUUAUGUGAGACUAUGCAAAAGGAAUCUAAGAUGAGGAGGAUACGUAAUCGCCUGGGAUUAAAGGGUUUUUGUGGCGUUGACAGCGAUGGACUGAGUGGAGGGCUGGCUGUUUAUUGGCAUGAGAAUUGUGUUGUUGAGAUAGUUGACAAAGAUGAGCGUCAUAUUGAUGCUCUGGUUCGGCUCCAGGAGGGUGCAAAUCAAUGGCGUGUUACUUUCGUCUAUGGUGAACCCCGUGUUGAAAAUAGGCACCUCAUGUGGGCUAAGCUAUAG